GAGAAGAGUUACGAAAGUUGUUGGUAAGUUUGUUACGGGAAGUCCAGCUGACAGAGCGUCAUUGGUCGAUCAAAAGGAGACGAGGAGAAACAGAGUGUAAAAGAGUUGUUGCACUUUCUUUUCAAUUCAUUCAGAUUCAUUUGUAAAACUUUCUCAAGAAUUCUAAUAAACGUCUCGUAAAGAGUUUACUACUUAGAAGAUCGUUCUCUCAUCGGGAUCUUCUACAGGUAGACUCCAAUUCCUCAUUUUAUGAACGUCGGAUUGAUCUUACCGUGAAAACAUUGUUUUAACGCUAUCAUCGUGUUGCCAAAACGGGGCCUGGAGAUAAAGACAAUUCUUUGGAUCGAAAGUUUUAUGUCAAUUUUGACGCAUCAUCUUAUUGCAGGUAACUUUUCAAGUAAAAUUUUCAUUGAAUCAUGGUUUCCUUUUUUUUUACAACCAAGCUUCCACAUACUGGAGAAAAGAAGAAGAAGAGUUUUCAGAGAAUGAGGCUCUUUUGGCAGAGAAGAAUCACAAAAAUAAAGAAGAGACACGGGAGAGAGCAGAGUAUAAAGCUGCUACAUUGAGAAUGAAGCAAGAGAAGGUCUUGCGAUGAAACCUGAGAAAGGACCUGAUGAUACACAAGUAACUACUCCUUUCUUUGCCACUCAUCACUUAUAAUUCGCUGACUAAAGGUCACACUACUACUUAUUAUAUGCAAAGCACAUCAAUCUAUUUUACUUAUUUUGUUAUUAACAACUUCGUGAGUGAUAUAAAAAAUUUAGUACCUCUUUAAAAAUUAAGUUCUCUGUUUAAUCUUCACCAAUCAAACAUCUGGAAUUUGCGUUCUUUUGACUUGAGGAUAUGAGAAGAUUCUGAUUUAUUAUAUCAUCUUGAUGCCUUCUCUUAUAAGCUUCAGAAAAUAGAGUUGGGCUCUCAAACAUGAUGGAGGAAGUUUGAGGAACUGUACAUGUUUUCUUGCGGCAUCUUCACAAAGCUCUCAAGUGUAAUCAGAGGUUGCUUGGUCUCCUGACCAUAUCCAGCCAUUGGUCACCCUCUUUGAGAAGUUUCGAGGGUGCGACGUGAUUCUCAGCCAAGAGAUGAAAAGCGCAUGAGAAGUGUUGAACAUCAAUUUUAAUUUCCCAAGCGCAUUCAGAAAGGGUUUAGUGCAAAUAUAUGACUAGAUGUGUAAGUUAGAUGUCUGCUUUGCUUAUUUCACGUAGAGGUACUGAAUAUUGUUUAGUUAUGGAAAAUCAUCGAGUGGCACAAAGACGAAAAAAAGUUAGAUUUUGUUCGCUAUUAUUGUCCUUAGAAUCAUGUUCUCAGAUUUAAACUCACUGAUCAAGUA